rnacentral:lncRNA from 1 species
UUAUGUAUUAGUAUAAUAUUAGAAAUCAAAAGAGUUUUUUUUUUCUUUCGAAAACCUUUGCGACUGUGAAGCCGAUUGAAACUGUUCAUGCCACCUCCUUCUUCCGCCAUGGCGCCAUCGCCGGUUACGAUUCCUCCAGAUCCGGGAAUCCCCCAGGAUCUGCUCUUCCUCCCGAGUCUAGAAGUUUCUCCACGCCUUGUGGAUACUGUUAUGCUCGACGCUCCUCCCCUGUCAUCUGCCGGGGUUCCUUCCCCAUCUGCUAAUGGGGUGUCUUCUCAGGUCUCGGUACCUGCAGUCUUUUCUUCUCCUACACCAGAUCCGCUUGUUCCUGCAUCCAAUUUGGUUUCUGAGAUUCCACCUGAUGUGUUGUGGUGUGUCGAGGGUUGUCAAGUUUUACCCUAAUUGAAAUCAAUAGCCGCAAGUGCACAGCUGAUC